UUUCAGCAAAAGUUCCCGAUAGAAUAAAAAGAUGGGUGUCGUGUCGCCAGUAAAUUUUGUAAGUUUUCCCUCCGUUUCCCAAAAUCCUUCCUCAAAAAAGUAAAGCAGCUAUCAUCGUUUGUUUGUUUGUUUGGAAGAGAAGAGAAAGCGAAAAUGGAAGAGUAUUUGCAGUGCAUGAAAACUCUCCGCUCCCAAAUCAAGGACGUGGAGGAUGAAGCCGCCAACAUUUCAGCUGAAGAGCAGAUUCACUUUACCACCAUUCAAACCUUACAAAAUGAUCUCCUUUCUGCAAAAUCCAAAACAAUGCAACUUAGAGAG